UACGAAGGGGGCUAGCGUUGCUCGGAAUCACUGGGCGUAAAGCGCACGUAGGCGGAUUGUUAAGUCAGGGGUGAAAUCCUGGAGCUCAACUCCAGAACUGCCUUUGAUACUGAAGAUCUUGAGUUCGGGAGAGGUGAGUGGAACUGCGAGUGUAGAGGUGAAAUUCGUAGAUAUUCGCAAGAACACCAGUGGCGAAGGCGGCUCACUGGCCCGAUACUGACGCUGAGGCACGAAAGCGUGGGGAGCAACAG
rnacentral:rRNA from 1 species